AUCCUUUUCCGGUUUGUAAGUAUGAUGAUUAGGUUCUCACAGGCUUGGGUGAUGCUUGCCUCCCUCUAAAACUUGUUACGAUGUUGGCACAUUAACCAUCUGAUA